UACGUAGGGCGCAAGCAUUGUCCGGAAUUACUGGGCGUAAAGGGCUCGUAGGUGGCCAACUAAGUCAGACGUGAAAUCCCUCGGCUUAACCGGGGAACUGCGUCUGAUACUGGAUGGCUUGAGUUCGGGAGAGGGAUGCGGAAUUCCAGGUGUAGCGGUGAAAUGCGUAGAGAUUUGGAGGAACACCAGUGGCGAAGGCGACUUUCUGGUCUGUAACUGACGCUGAGGCGCGAAAGCGUGGGGAGCAAACAGG
rnacentral:rRNA from 1 species